ACGGGAGUCAGUCCGCGAGAGAUAAGUUCCGCGGGCAAAAGGGGAACACCCCAGAUCAACCGCUAAGGUCCCCAAGUUCACGUUAAGUGGAGAAGGAUGUGGAAUUGCACAGACAACCAGGAUGUUGGCUCAGAAGCAGCCACACAUUUAAAGAGUGCGUAAUAGCUCACUGGUCGAGUGAUUGUGCGCCGAAGAUGUCCGGGGCUAAACGUGACACCGAAGCGAUGGGUGCAUCUGAAGAAGAUGCGCGGUAGAGGAGCAAUGUGCAGAGGCAGAAGCCGUAUCGAGAGGCACGGUGGACACUGCACAAGAGAGAAUGCCGGUAUGAGUAGCGAGAGGCAUGCGAGAAACAUGCCCGUCGAAAGCCCAAGGUUUCCUGGGGAAGGUUCAUCCGCCCAGGGUAAGUCGGGGCCUAAGCCGAGGACGGAAGUCGUAGGCGAUGGACAGCAGGUGUAGAUUCCUGCACUACCGAUGGAAUGAAGCAGUGACACAGAAGGAUAACUCGAGCAGGGUGAUGGUCAACCCUGUGCAAGCAUCAAGGUUGGGUUGUAGUGAAGUACGCAAUCCUAUAAGCUGAGGUGUGAUGCGGACCGAAAUUUCAGUAGGGAAGCGAGUGAGUUCACGCUGGCGAGAAAAGCUGCUAGUACAUCCAAAGGUACCCGUACCGGAAACCGACGCAGGUGGGCGAGGAGAGAAUCCUGAGACGAACGGGAGAACCCUUGUUAAGGAACUCGGCAAAAUGACCCCGUAACUUCGGGAGAAGGGGUGCCUCGAAAGAGGCCGCAGAGAAUAGUCACAAGCGACUGUUUAGCAAAAACACAGGUAUCUGCGAAAGCGAGAGCUGACGUAUAGGUGCUGACGCCUGCCCGGUGCUGGAAGGUUAAGGGGAAGUGUUAGGGGAAACCCGAAGCAGAGAACCGAAGCCCCAGUAAACGGCGGCCGUAACUAUAACGGUCCUAAGGUAGCGAAAUUCCUUGUCGGGUAAGUUCCGACCCGCACGAAUGGUGUAACGACUUGUGAGCUGUCUCAACAGGGGGCCCGGUGAAAUUGAAGUAUGGGUGAAGAUGCCCAUUACCCGCGACUGGACGGAAAGACCCCGUAGAGCUUGACUGUAGCCUGAUAUUGGAUUUCGGUAACGGAUGCACAGGAUAGGUGGGAGGCUUGGAAGCCAGGACUCCGGUCUUGGUGGAGCCACCGUUGGGAUACCACUCUUCUGUUGCUGGAAUUCUAACAUGGCGCCGUGAAACCGGUGAAUGGACAGUGUCAGGUGGGCAGUUUGACUGGGGCGGUCGCCUCCGAAAGAGUAACGGAGGCGCCCAAAGGUACC
rnacentral:rRNA from 1 species